rnacentral:rRNA from 1 species
CCAAGAGUUCAUAUCGACGGCGGUGUUUGGCACCUCGAUGUCGGCUCAUCACAUCCUGGGGCUGAAGUAGGUCCCAAGGGUAUGGCUGUUCGCCAUUUAAAGUGGUACGCGAGCUGGGUUUAGAACGUCGUGAGACAGUUCGGUCCCUAUCUGCCGUGGGCGCUGGAGAAUUGAGGGGGGCUGCUCCUAGUACGAGAGGACCGGAGUGGACGCAUCACUGGUGUUCGGGUUGUCAUGCCAAUGGCACUGCCCGGUAGCUAAAUGCGGAAGAGAUAAGUGCUGAAAGCAUCUAAGCACGAAACUUGCCCCGAGAUGAGUUCUCCCUGAGACUU